GGGGUUGACUGGAUUUGACAGCAGGAUGAGAUGGUACGUAAGCAUGCGGAGUGAUGACUGUGGACUCCAUAAUCACGUCGGUCGAACUCGCUGCCUAAUCGAAGUAUAGUAGAUUACUGGCUUUAUUCUUUUACAAGGUAGAAGAACGAGACGUCGCUCCGAGGAUGUUGUUCCGAAUCCGGAGAUUCAGCGGCGCAGGUUAAAUCGGAAAUAGUCUUGUCAGGCCUCGAUGACGGGAUGAAAUUUUAGAGGAUAAGGGUGCGAUUGGUGGUCCGGGUCUUGUCGCAUCACGAAAAUGAAGACCGGAAUAAGCAUGUAGAAAGCGUAUGGUUUCCCUGUUUGGACGAGGGUUCGACUCCCUCCAGCUCCACA
rnacentral:tmRNA from 1 species